rnacentral:rRNA from 1 species
AAUUCUGGACAAUGGGGGAAACCCUGAUCCAGCCAUCCCGCGUGUAUGAUGAAGGCCUUCGGGUUGUAAAGUACUUUUGGCAGAGAAGAAACGGUAUCCCGUACUCCGGCAUACUCCUGACGGUAUCUUCAGAAUAAGCACCGGCGAACUAGCUGCCAUCAGCCUCGGUAAUCCGUAGGGUGCAAGAGUUAAUCGGAAUUACUGGGCGUAAAGCGUGUGUACGCGGUUCGGAAAGAAAGAUGUGAAAUCCCAGGGCUAAACCUUGGAACUGCAUUUUUAACUGCCGAGCUAGAGUAUGUCAGAGGGGGGUAGAAUUCCACGUGUAGCAGUGAAAUGCGUAGAUAUGUGGAGGAAUACCGAUGGCGAAGGCAGCCCCCUGGGAUAAUACUGACGCUCAGACACGAAAGCGUGGGGAGCAAACAGG